AAAAAAAAAAGGCCUGUCAAUUGCAUACAACAUCGGAAUAGAAUGCUAUAGUCCUCCUUUGGCAAUCCUGGACGCUGAGAAGUUCCACAUCAAACACUUCGAACUGCUUUGAACUGAAAAAUGUGGAAGGUCCUACCUGCAGAUAAACAAAACAGUCUCUUGUCAAUACAAAAUACGACCAAAUCUAUGUUUUCUCCCAAUCUGGCUUGCAAGGUUAAACAAGUUAUAAUUGGUUAUUGUGAAACAUUAAAGGUGGGGUAGGAGUUGUAUCACGGGAUCAUUUCGAUGAGUGUUGGACUUGGUCUGGUACAGAAUUGUCAAAACAGCAAGUUACAAAAUUGUCAAAACAACUCCUAUUCAUACUGGAGAAGUAAAUAGGGUUAUGGCUGUUCUUAUGGGAAAGUUAGGCCUUUGCCAAGCAGCAAUUACAACAGAAGCAUCAUCAGUGUUGCUCUGUGUCCUAGCAACCAUUUGAAAUCACUGGAGUUUGGAUUCUCUAUUUCUCAAUAAAAAAGAAAAAUCUUUAAGUAAUAUGUGCAGUGCAUGCAAUAUUUUCACAAAACAUUUAACAUAUAAAAGUGAAAAAAGAAGACUGACAAUAAUAAUGUUGAAAGAGACAAAAUGCAGUUGUGGGGGGGUGGGGUGUGGUGUGGCGGUGGGUGUGGUGGGGUGGGGAGAGUGGUGUGUGGCAUAUUGAAGAUAAACUGACCGGCGGUCCAAGUUCUGGAGGAAUGAUCAUUCUUCUCUUCCCCCCAGGCCUCAUAUCUCGAAUUCCUUCUUCAAAUCCUGCAUAAAUUUUUUCCUUUCAUCUACUACUUUCAUUGUAUACAUUUCUUUGAUAUGCAAAAAGGAAAAACAGGUUUAGGGGAGGAGUGUAACGAAGCUCCUUAUCAUGUAGUCCAGAAAGAAGGUAGACAAAACCAUAAUAAUUUCUAGAAUGUCUGUUCACCUGGAACUAAUGCGUUAGUGCCCAUGCGGAUUUUGGCAGGAGAGCCCUGUAAGUAGGUACUGUCAAUGCGACGGCCUGACUCGUUAUAUCCAAUAUAGUGGAAAGUCACCUGCAAAGGUUAUUAAGUCAACUCCAGCUCAAGAAUAGAAGAUAGAAAUUUUACAGAUUCACUUGAAAAAGGUACACCUUAUUCGGGAAAGAGAGUGUGGGUUGCAGAUUGAUUGGUAACUGGUUACAAAUUAUGAAAGUCUUACCGAAAAAAAUGUCUAUAAAAGAUAUUUGAUGCAUCUGUGCAACUAUAAAACCUACCUAGUUUACAUUCUUCCUUGCUAAUACGGAAUGCAAAUCCAAGGAUUUACGUGUUCCCAUCAUUUGAAGCAAUAAACUUUAUAUGUCACUAAAACUCUUCCAGGAAUGAUUCACAAUUUAAGCUGCAUUUUUUAAUAUAUAGAGUGAAAUUAUGCUUGUAAUUUCACAAGUGCAAUGAAGAAGCAAAUGGCACCUCAUUCCUCAGAAAAGUUAUAUUUCAAAUUGCAUUAGACAAAAUGGCAACUAUUCUACCUCUAGCACUCAUUUUCUAAACGGUUUUGUGAUUACCAAAUCCAAAUACAGAAUAGGGAAACAAGCUGUGACUUUGAAAGAAAAACCUGUUGACCAGCCUUUGGGCAAUCACCUUUACCAACUUCAAAAUCUCGGUAUAUAAGCCCAGAGUCACGCUUUAUAUAGUUCUCUGAUGCCACUACUUUAACCUCAAAACCUUCUCUAAUAAAAUUUGGAAAGUCUGCAGGUGCAUUGUUUUCUUUCUGCAUCCGUUUGUUCUGCUCUAAUAAACGUUUUUCAUCAUAUGGGUUCUUACUCUUUGUCUUUCCCAAAGAAGGCAAAGUUUGAAACAAGCCUGAUGAGGCAGAAAAGAAAAGGAUGAUCCUACGCCUGCAUUUCUCUUCAAAAUGUAAUUCAUGUCCAUUCUGCAUGCUUCUAUCACUGAAAUUGUGACAGCAACGCACUAUAUGCUUCUUUGAUGCAAAGAGGUUUCCUAAAUUGGAACAAGAUGAAAGGGUUCUAUCUGCCGGAAAGUGCAAGUAAGUAUCUCAACAUAUGAUAUGAAUAGGGAAAAAUAAACCAUGUUCCUUAUUUUGAAACAUAGUUCAUUGUUGUACAGACCCAGAAAACCAUAAACACCAGAAAUUAGCAACUCGGAAAUUAGUGUUCCAUGGAAUUUAGACGAAUUAACAAUGGAUUUAGUGAAAGAAAAGAAGAAAUAAGGUCGUCAGAAUUUUAUCUAGAAAGAGAGUGAUAAUGGGAUCAAAUUUUUCUCAAAUACCAGUAAGCCCAGAAAAUGCGAAGAAUCCCCUAUUGGAGCAUCUCACAGACAGAUGUAGAGAGGGAGACAGCGGAAGUUGCUUACAAGGAGGAGAGGACGAAAGCAUACUCAUCAGCAUCGCUUUUGUGAAGCAAAGGACAGCCUUUUCCUGUUUGAAGUGUUCAACUCCUCUCCGGUUAUCUUGAAUUUGGCUUCUGGAAA
rnacentral:misc_RNA from 1 species